rnacentral:lncRNA from 1 species
AACCACAACCUACACUAAGUCUAGAGAAUUAAGCAUAAAUCCACUCAAAUAGCCCAACAUCACAACAAAGACUUGGAUUAUUAACAGAGAAUACCAUUGACUAGCCCGAACUCAUCAUCCUGAGAAAAACACCUUUAACUAUCAUACCCUCCUUGAAAACAUACAAGUGUAGAAAGGUUAUUAACAAAUUCUAUUUGCCUAUUAAGCAGCAUAACUUUGUAAGUUGAUCUGAUUGUAUAUCUAACAUCAUCCUCACCCAGCCAUAUCCACUGAUUUUCUUCAAUAAAGAUAGAUUUUACAUGUUGUACCUCUUCCAGCAGAUUCUACACUAAACUAAGCUCUCAGUCAAAUCAUUAUCUUCUUCACUUAAGCUCCCACACCCACCUAGACUCAGUCCACCUAUCCAUUAUACCCAUGUUAGCCUCUUUUGCAAUAGAUAGAUGGUAUAACCUUUGGUAAUUUUUUAUUAAAGUCGUUUGGCCCAACCACCUAUCCUCCCAAAAAUUUAUUUUGAAACCAUUCCCCCACUUCCCGUCUAACGUUUUCUCUAAACCAUUGAUCAUUAUACAUCUCACUACUGACUUUUGUAAUAUUCCUCCAUCAUAUACUCAUUCUUUGUAACCACCCUACUAUCAAGCAUCCUCCAUGACCCUUAGAUUUCAUCACAUCUUUCCACAGGCCAAAAUUUUCAAUUCUUAAGCGACAUUUCCACUUAGCGAGCAGAGCAAUAUAGAACGUAUUUAUGUCUUUUACCCCAUACCUCCCUCCUUCUUUGGCCAACAAACAUUUUUCCAUUUAACCGAAGCUAUAUUUUUUCCCUUCUUACCCUAGCCUUACAAAAAUUCUCGUUGUAUCUUAUUUAUCACAUUUAUGAAUUUCUUCGGAAUUAUGAACAUAGACAUGUAAAUUAGGGGUAUGGCUGUUAACACAAACUUAAAAGGGCAUAACCUAGCUAUUGGUAGCAUCGUUCCUUUCUAUAUGGAUAGUUUUCUCUUUAACUUCAAAAGGACCAGCUCCCAAAAGCUUAACUUCUUAGGUUUCCCCCAACACACAUACCCAUAUUUCAAUAAUAUUUCAUAUUAAAAGACAGACACUUAUGAAUAUUUAUUGAUAAAUAAUUAUAAUUUAACUCUUAAUUUAUGAAUUUAAACUUUUUUACAUAUUUUGUGAUUAUAAUAUGAAUAAGAACUAUUUAUUCCCAAUUUUCUGUUAAUUUUAGGAUUCUAGGGGAAAAUGGAGAUGAAAGGGCUAAAGGAGAAUAUACAAGAAGAAAAGGGAAAGUCAGAACAUUCAAAACUCGUCCAAACUCACCCAGGCCAUAUCACUCCAGAGGAACUCGCCCAAGGCUCACCUAGGCGAGUUCAUUCUGGAGAAGUUGAGCUUUUUUUCUCGUCAAACUCGCCCAAGAAAGUAAUAACUCGCCUAGGCAAGAAGUCACUUAGCCCAAACCUAACUACGUUAAAUAUGAGGUGUGAGAUAUAACUCUAAACAUCAUUAAGAGAAUAGAAGGAGAUAGAAAACCCUAAAGGAGAAACAUCCUGGAUCUUCUUUUCAUGCUUGUAAUGACCAACAUGAGUGACUAAUUCUACCCUUUGGGAUUGAGAGUAAUUUGUUCAAACUCUUAUGUGUCGAAGUGAUAUUUAAACAUAAUAUUUUGUCUUGAUUGAUGAUUGGUAUUGUCAUUUUAUUCUUAACGCUUGAAUUAUCAUGAUUUUGAUGCAUAGAUUUGACUCUGAAAAGUACUUUUAAGCAUCUGACAUAAAUGAUAGUGCUUAACAUAUUUGAAUGUUAGGAAUAGAUUUGAAAUGUUAAUUGUUAUCAACAUUUGUUCGUAAUGAUAAGGAGUUUUUAUAAAUAUGCGAGGAAUCUAUAUUUAGGAGACUAUCUUAAUAAUUUUAUAUGCAAGGAAUCAAUAUAAAUGAAUUUUAUAUGGGCAUCAAUAUCAAUCAAAGAUAGAAUAUUACAUGCUUUUCAAAAUACAAAAUAGUGAGAAUGAUGAACCCCAAUCCCAAUUUUCCCAAUUGAAUCAAACAACUAUUUACUUUGCUUUAUUUACAUUCUUGCAAUCUCAUACAAACUUCCAACAAACUUUUAUAUAUUAUUUUCUAUUUAGUAAAUAUUAUACUUGUGAAUUCAAAUGUUCCUUGUAGGUUCAAUAUCCAAUCUUAGGGACAAAUUUAUUACUUCUGACAUGGUACACUUGCCGUAAAAUAGUAAUCAUGCAUAUGUUAAUUUGACUAAUAUCAACCUCUAACCCAACAACCUUACUCUUUAGAAAAUUCAAUUUCAGAUCGGAAGCCAACUCAAAACACCUUAAGAUGAUUUUUACUGUUAUGAUGUUAAGAAUAUUGUUUUUAGUGAAAAAAAUGGUAUUGUCCGCAAACUGAAGAUUGUUAAUUUCAACUUCUUUUUCACCCAGUUUAACCCUUUUUAACAACUUGUUUUUUUCUUUCCUCUCUCACAGGCCUAGUUAAACCCUCCAGAACAAUGAGAAACAAAAAGGAUGAUAAUGGAUCCAUUUGCCUAAACCCUUUUGAUGAAGUAAACUUCUUGGAUGCACUACCAUUUACUAAAACAUAUAAGGUUGUUGACUAUAAGCAUCCUUUAAUCCAAGAUAUCGACUUAUGACAAAAACCAAGUCUACCUAACUUGUAAAACUAUUGACAGAGUCAUAUGCCUUUUCAAAGUCUAUUUUUACAACAACCUCUUUUCUUCUCUUACACCUUAAUUCCUCCACAACCUCACUAGCCACAAUAAUGUUGUCUAAUAACCCUCUUCCUCCUAAAAAGGUUGCCUGAGAGAAGUCAAUGACAUUUUGUAGAGCCUUUUUCAACCUAAUGGACAUAUGUUUCACACGAAUCUUAUAUAUGCACCCAACCAUCGAGAUAAGCCUAUGUUCCUCUAGGCCUUGUGGAUUUUCAUUCUUAGGAAUUAAGGUUAUAAAUAAAACAUUACCUCUUUUUGGCCACCUUGACGUUCUAAAGAACUCAUUGCUAAUUCCAUGAUAUAACCCUUCAAGUAUUCCCAAACUUUCUUUAUAAAGGAAAAAUGAAACUCAUAUACGGUCCUAGGCUCUUACAACUAUCACAGAUCCAUACUACAUCUCUAAUAUCUUUUACAAUAAACACUUCUACCAACUUCUUGUUAACCUCAUUAGAUAUAGAUUUAAAUUCCACAUUUUCCAACUACACUCUUCCUACAGACUCUUCCUUAAACCUCUUUUUGAAUACUCUUCACCCCUCCCCCCUCCCACCUAAUUGGGAUCUUCAUUCCACUGACCAUGAACCUUAAGACCCUUAAAACUUAUUUUUUAACCUUCUCCACUUUAACAACGUAUGAAAAAAAAAAAAGAUUUUGAAUCCCCAACUUCCAGCCAUUUAAUUUUUUAUUUCUGCUUAGCUAUAAGUUCCUUUAUAUGGUUUAACUGGUUAAGUUAUGCAAAAAGCUUCAUUCUCUUUGAAGCUCCCUUCUCAUCUAACCCACUAUUUUCUUGUUUUAAAUCAAGAACUUCUAUCAUUUGUAUUAUUCUCUUUUGUUCCAACUCUACAAUACCAAAAACAUCUUUAUUCCAAAUCUUUAAAUCAUUCUUCAACACUUUCAAUUUUUCAAUACGACCCCUCCACCUCCCUUUGUAUGAAUCUCAUUUGUUUUUCACAAAAUCAUGAAACCCUUGUCUAUUUUCCAAGCAUCUAACAACUUAAAUGGCCUUGGCCCCAAUCCACCUGUUUAGUUUUAAGAAUAAGUGCAAAAUGAUCCAAAAUUGACCUUUGUAGGAUGAAUUGCCUACUAUCUGGCCAAACAUCCAACCAGUCACUAGAUACUAAGUAAACUUCCUCCUAACCAUAGGUAUUUCUAACAUUUAUAGUCCUUCUAUAAACUUAUUAAACCUUUUUAUCUCUCUUUUUGAUUGAUAAACAUUGAUUUUCCCUCUUCUUUCCUUUUCCUCCCUAUAAGGUUUUCUUCUCUACAACUUACAUUAAGAAUACACAUUCACAAUCAAGAUGAUAAUUUCUUUUGUCCUUAGUUUUCUCUAUGACUACUAAAAAACCUCUACCAAUAAUAGAUUGUUGCAAUCCAAACCUAUCAUUAUUCCAAAUUGUUAAUAUUCCUCAUCCCCAUUUACCAUUGGUACUUGUUGCCAUUCAAUAUUCCUACCUCCCCAAAUCCUAUAACACUUUUCAUCAGUUACAUCCCCAAUCUAGGUUUCUUGAAUAUACAUAAAAUCGACCCCUUUUUACAUACUAAAUCCCUGUAUAACUACCUUUUAUUGUUGCUCCAAUCCCUCUUAUAUUAUGAUUUAUUAUCCUUAACAAACACUUUUCAUUUCCCCUCCUUUAUUAUUUUGUAACCUAGUCUUAUCCCUCUCCUCCAUAUUUUCAAAAUUCUUGAGGACAUCCUCCUCAUUACCAGCACAUGUAACCCCUAUUGUUUUCCCACUUCUCAUAAUCUAACAUUAUCUAUGAGGUCACUUCUAUUUUAGAACAAUUUAUUGCAAUUAAUUAUAUCAUUUUCAGAAAUGGAAUUACUAAAAUCUUGUUAAGCUAACCUCAAUCUCCUUCAAUCGACCACCUUUGAUGUCACGGGGUUCCUCAAAUUGCUUGAUUAUAAGAAUUGCUCCCCUUCUGAAAUAUUACGAUAUAGAUAAGAACAAAACUCCCUUGUAUUCACUUUUAAUUUUAACUUAAAAUGAGGGAUGAGUAACCUUGUUUGGGAAAAAUGUUAAGUAUUCCAACCUAGGAAUAUCUUAACCACAUGACUUUCCUUGUUUGAUUACAAAUUUUCAAGGCUUGGUAUUUAUACAAGGAGUUAAGUUCACAUGUAAGCAAAACUUUGAGCUUAAUACAAUAAAGAAAUGUGUAAAAAGUUUGAGCUUAAUACAAUAAAGAAAAUGUGUAAGUAGUCUAAUUCUUCUUCUUUCUUGUAGAGUUCUCAUUUUCAGUAGAGACUUAAGUUACGAUUCUUCUCUUCUUUAUUUAUCUCCUGAAGAUUUGGAGUGAAUAAAAGUUCAUCCUGAAAGCUUCCCAAAGUGAAUCCAAAUUCGAUCAAAGAUAAGACAUUAUCUUCUUGGUAUUUGUUUUCAAUUAUUGUCACUCUUUUUGGUAAGAGUAGAACCUUUUAUUUAAGGUAUAAUUAUUUAAAUCAAUGAGUAAUAAUAAUACAAAAGUAUAUUAAUUAUUUGGAAGUGUGAAACUAACUACGAGUAUAAGAAACUAAGUAUUUCCGACUAACUUCUAAAACUUUUCAUAAUUGUAUAUUGGUCCCUGAAUUUUUUUAAUUACAAUUUGGUCCUUAAAUGUUUAUAUUAACUACAAAUUGGUCCUUGUUUAACUUUUAUUAUUCAUAACUUAGUCCUUACUCGCUUUUAAUAAUUAUAUUUUAACCACUAUCUAGUUUUUAAUAUUUGCAAAAUUAGAUUCUUGAUCAACUAAUUAAGUGGAUUUUUAUGAUACUUUAUAAUCAAUAUAAAUUACAUAAAUUAAAAUUUUAAUAAGUAAUGUUUUGGAUGCUUAUAUUUUAAUAAAAUGUGUUCAUGAUGGAAUGAAAUAACAAUAUUGGUACACAAAAUUAGAUAUUUUGGGUGAAUUGGUAGAAGAAUUUAAAAAAUAUAAUUCAUUAAAAAGUUGCGCCAUACAACACCCAAAAUAUAUUAAUUAUUAAAUUGUUAUGUUUUACUUUCUCCUUAACUUGAAAAGUUUAGUUUACAUUUUUUAAUUGUGAAAUGAAGUAGUUUACGAAAGUUUUUAACUUUUUAUGCUACAAUAGUAAUUUAAAUAUGUAAAAGAAAACUUAAGUAUGAAUAAAACAUAAAUAAAGAAGUAAAAAAAAUCAGAAAAUCAAUUAUAAAUUAACUUGUAAAUGGAUUAGUUAGUGGAUUGUUUAAGCAUUUUUGGACAAAGAAUACCAGGUGUGCCAUUUCGCAAAUUAAACAAAUUAGGUCAAGUCCAUUUGUUUCAGUUUUUUGCCCAAAAAAAAAGAUUUUUCUUACAACAAUAUUACUAUUCAUGCUAAUACAAGUCUAGGGUUGUUUCUUCCUGCACCUCCAUAUAUUCUUCUCUCACCUCCUUAAAUUUUCAUAUUUCCAAAAAUACCCCUCUGUAAUAUUCUAGAUUACGUAAUUUGGAAGUCUUUUUUUCAAAUUCGUAAUUAGUUUUCAGAUUACAUAAUUCAGAAACCUUUUUCUAUAUGCUUGAUUAGCUUCUGAAUUAUGUAAUUCGGAAGUCUUUUUUAGCUUUUGAAUUACAUAAUCCAAAAGUCUUUUUUCAAAUGUGUGUCCAGAUUAUACAAUUCAGAAAAUACACUAUGGAGGUGGUACAAGAAGGAUAAAAAGGUAUUUUCACGCUGUGUAUGAGAUGACAGAAGAACUUAUAGAGGUGGAGGAAGAAACAGUCCAAGUCUAGAAGUAUUGGAUAAGUUUAAAAACCCUUUCUUUAGAUAAAUUUUGUCCAUGUGUAAUUUGCAAAGGUGAAUAUGAUUUUUUUUUCUUAUUACUUUUUUUCCUUUUGUAACUCAAAAACUCUAUAAGUAACGAAUCUUCUCCCUUAUUUUCUUCUUCUUCCAAUUUAGGGUUUAUGGUUAAAUUAACGUAUGAUGAGUAGUUUCCUCUGCGAAAAAUAUAAUAUUAAAUAUAUUUUACGUACUUGCAUCAUAGUCUAUGAAACAAAAAAGUAAUUCAAUAAUUUAUUCAAAUCAUUACAAGUAAGCGUUCGACGAAUAAUUCUCUUUUGUCAUUUCUCAAAAUAUAUCAAAGUUAUAAUUUCACGAAUAAAAACUAUUCAUCUUCAUAAUUAAUUCAGAUUUGUAAACAGAUGAACUUCAUUCAGUUAACGAUAGAAAACAAGUUUCUUAAAGUUUUUGUUUUAGAAUGUUACCUUAAUAUUUUCUGAUGCAUCAUAUCUCUCUUGAUUUUGUCUUCUAACGGUUGAUUUUGGCUUAAUCUUAAGUCCCACAUCGGUGGGUUUAUUAUUUGGAAAGGAGGUUUGAGGGUUAUAAAUUAACCUCUCCUCCUUCACUGUUAUAUAUCCCAAUUUGUAAUAUCUUCUCCCAUAAUAAUAAAAGUGGGUUGUUUCAGCUGUGCUCGGAGAUUAGGCUAAAGUGGCCGAACUCCGUUAACAAUUUUCUGGUAUGUUUUUUCCUCUUUAUCUUUUUUAUUAUUCCGUUCUGUUUAUUCAAUAUCAUUUGUCGGGUAGCUCUGUUAGUGUUCUGUUUUAGUGGGAAAAUUAUCCGUUUUGCCCAACAAGUGGUAUCAAGAGCCGAAGGUUCGCCCUUGGUUUGUUUGAAAUUAUUUGUAAUAUUGAAUACUAUAUUUUGAGUUUGUAAUGACAAAUCAAGAAGAAGAAGAAGCGAAGGAUGUAUCUAGAGUGUCGGACUCCUCGUCAUCAUGGUCGAGGUUCUCGAUGUCCACUUUGAAAUUGGCGGUGGAAAUAUUUGAUGGCAUUGGACAUUUUGGCAUGUGGCAAGGAGAGGUCUUGGACUCUCUUUUUCAGUAGGGUCUUGAUAUUGCUAUUGAAGGAGAGAAACCAAAAUAGGUAGAGGAGAAGUUUCGAUCCGCCAAACCAGUUGGCAUGCAGAACUAUUCGAUCCUGCCUAUAAGUAUGCUGUAAAAAAACGAGACUUCUGCAUACAAACUGUGGAAGGCAUUGGAGGACAAGUUUCUGAAGAAGAGUGGUCUGAACAAACUCCUGAUGAAAAAAAGGUUGUUCCGAUUUGACUACCAACAAGGUACUACUAUGAAUGCACACAUCACUAUGUUUAAUGAAUUAGUAGCAGACUUGUUGAAUUUAGAUGUGAAGUUUGAGGAUGAGGAUUUGGCUUUGAUGUUGUUAUCAUCUCUUCCUGAUGAAUUUGAACAUUUGGAGACUACGCUUCUUCACGGGAAGGAGAAUGUGUCGUUAGAUGUUGUUUGUUCUGCUUUAUAUAGUCAUGAAUUGAGAAAACAGGAUAAGAUGAAAAUCAAAUCAACGACAUCAGAAGAAACAUUGGUGGCAAGAGGUCGUCAGCAAAGCCAAACAAAUGGGAGAAGAGGGAGGUCUAAGUCUAAAGGUCGAGCCGUUGCCAAAGAUGAGUGUGCUUUCUGUCAUGAGAAAGGACACUGGAAGAAAGACUGUCCAAAAUUGCAGAAGAAAGGGAAGGCUCCGCAAGAUGCAAAUGUUGCAUAAUGCAAAAGUGAUGUGGAAUCAAAUAUCUCUUUAAUUGUCUCGCUUUCAGCAUCAUCGUAUCCAGAUGAGUGGAUAUUGGAUUCAGGUUGUACCUAUCAUAUGUGUCCCAUUCAGGAAUGGUUCUUUGAAUUUCAAGAACUUGAUGGCGGGGUUCUUUACAUGGGUAAUGAUAAUCCAUGUAAGACAACUGGGAUAGGUUCAAUCAAGCUGCGAAAACAUGAUGGAUCCACCAGAAAUUUGCGGGAUGUACGGUACGUGCCAAAGUUGAAGAAGAAUCUCAUCUCAUUGGGGGCUUUAGAAUCUAAAUGCCUAGUUGUGAUGAUGCGAGAUGAAAUUCUUAAAGCAACUUCAGGAGCACUGGUGAUGUUGAAAGGCGUGAGGAAGAACAAUUUGUAUUACUAUCAAGGUAGUACAGUGGUGGGGAUAGUAGCGGCAUCAACUUCUGGCACUAAGAAGGAUGACGAGGCAACGAAGUUGUGGCAUAUGAGAUUGGGACAUGCUGGAGAGAAAUCCUUGCAAAUUCUUACCAAGCAGAGAUUGUUGAAAGGUACAAAGGCUUGCAAACUUGAAUUUUGUGAGCAUUGUGUUAUGGGAAAACAACGACGAGUGAAGUUUGGCACUGCAAUUCACAAUACCGAGGGUAUUAUGGAUUAUGUGCAUUCAGAUGUGUGGGGACCUGCCAAGACUCUAUCAAUCGAAGGUAGGCAUUAUUUUGUCACUUUUGUGGAUGAUUUUUCCAGGAGAGUUUGGGUGUUUACUAUGAAGAACAAAAUGAUGUGCUUGAAAUUUUCCUUAAGUGGAAAGCUCAAGUUGAAAACCAGACAGGAAGGAAGAUUAAGGUUCUCCGAACAGACAAUGGAGGAUAAUAUAAGAGUGAUCCGCUCCAAGAUUGUGGCAUAGUUUGGCACUUCACUGUUAGAAAAACACCACAGCUGAAUGGGGUGUCAGAGCGUAUGAACAAGUCACUUGUGGAGAAAGUUCGUUGUAUGCUGUCUAAUGCUGAGUUAGGCAGAGAGUUUUAGGCUGAGGCUGUGACAUACGCUCAACAUUUCGUCAAUCGUUUGCCAUCAUCUACUAUAGAUGGCAAAACCCCGUUAGAGGUAUGGUCUGGAAAACCUGCAACUGAUUAUGAUUCUUUGCAUGUUUUUGGUUCUAUUGCAUAUUAUCAUGUGAUUGAAUCAAAGUUGGAUCCAUGGGCAAAGAAGGCUCUUUUCAUGGGCUUUAGUCCUGGAGUGAAGGGAUACCGUUUGUGGUGUCUAGAGGCAAAGAAAACGAUUAUCAGCAGGGAUGUUACCUUUGAUGAAUUUGCCAUGUUAAAGAAGGUAAAUGCAGAAGGAGCUAACAGUACUCCGCAACAGGUGGAGUGUGCCCGGAAGCAGGUGGAGUUUGAGCAAACAGUGGUGAUCCUAACACGAAAUACCACAAGUGACUCUCCUAUGGAAGAGUCAGAUGAGAAAGAGGUUCCUACCCAAGAAUCUCAACAACAAUCAGCGCCAAUUGCAGUUAGAAGACAUAGACGAGAUAUUCAUAAGCCUUCUCGUUUCAUGGAUAUGGUUGCCUAUGCACUUCCAGUUGUUGAUGACAUUCCAUCCAUUUACCCAGAAGUCAUUCUGAGUUCAGAGAGUGGUAAUUGGGCUGGUGCGAUGGAAGAGGAGAUGCAGUCUUUGAAGAAGAACAAGACGUGGAAGCUGGCACAAUUACCAAAAGGUAAGAAGGCAAUUGGGUGCAAAUGAGUAUUUGCAAAGAAAUAAGGAUUUCCUAAUAAAGAAGAUGUUCGCUACAAGGCAAGGUUGGUUGCUAAAGGCUUUGCUCAAAGGGAGGGAAUUGAUUAUGGCGAGGUAUUUUCUCCAGUUGUUAAACAUUCCUCCAUUCGAAUCUUGUUGGCCUUGGUAGCAUAGUUGAUUUUGGACCUAGCUCAACUUGAUGUAAAGAUCGCGUUCCUACACAGUGAUUUGAAGGAGGAAAUCUAUAUGACUCAACCAGAAGGAUACAAGGUUGCUGGUAAAGAAGUUUGGGUUUGUAAACUUAGCAAAUCGUUGUACGGACUGAAACAAUCUUCGAGAAAGUGGUACAAACGAUUUGAUAAGUUCAUGAAGGAUCAAAAGUACAAGAGAAGCAAAUAUGAUCACUGUAUGUAUUUGUGUAGACUUGAAGAUGGUUCCUACAUUUACUUACUCGUAUAUGUUGAUGAUAUGCUGAUUGUAGCAAAGAGCCAAGUUGAGAUUGACAGGUUAAAGGCUCAGUUGAGUAAAGAGUUCAAGAUGAAGGAUUUGGGGGAAGCCAAGAAGAUUCUCGGCAUGGAGAUAAACAGGGACAGAGAGAGGGGAAAACUUUGGCUGUCAUAGAAGCAGUAUUUGCAUAAGGUACUACAACGUUUUGGUAUACACGAAGAUACAAAACCUGUAAGUACCCCACUUGCUCCUCAUUUGAAAUUGAGUAGUCGUUUAUCUCCGACGACUGAUGAAGAACGAGAAUACAUGGCGAAAGUCCCAUAUGCAAAUGCAGUUGGAAGCUUAAUGUAUGCAAUGGUGUGUACGAGACCAGAUGUUUCACAGUCUGUGAGUGUUGUUAGCAAGUACAUGCAUGAUCCGGGCAAGGGUCAUUGGCAAGCUGUGAGAUGGAUUCUACGGUACCUCCAAAAUACCUUAGAUGUUGGAUUGGCAUUUGAGCAAGAUGAAUCAGUUGGUCAAUGCAUAGUUGGAUAUUGUGAUUUUGAUUAUGCAGGUGAUUUGGAUAAGUGACGGUCUACCACUGGCUAUUUGUUCACUUUAGCAAAAGCGUCAGUUAGUUGGAAGUCUACCUUGCAGUCUACGGUGGCUUUGUCUACGACAGAGGCAGAGUAUAUGGCGAUUACAGAGGCUGUGAAGGAAGCAAUUUGGCUUCAUGGGUUGCUUAAAGACUUGGGAGUUGGUCAGAAACAACUUGAGUUAUAUUCUGACAGCCAAAGUGUUAUUCAUUUAGCAAAGAAUCAAGUCUUUCAUGCACGGACGAAGCACAUUGAUGUUCGCUAUCACUUUGUGCGUGAGAUUCUCGAAGAAGAGGAGAUUGUUCUCCAAAAGAUUCACACUACGGAGAAUCCUGCAGAUAUGCUCACCAAGGUGGUUACAAGGGCCAAGUUUGAACAUUGUUUAGACUUGGUUAAUAUCUUGCACAUUUGAAGUUGGCGCCCGGAGGCGCAAAUUUGAAGCACUGCAAAGUUUGUUUUUGUUAUGUUUUGCAAAUAUUUGUAUUAGGUGGGACUUGAAAUUAAGCCAAGGUGGAGAUUUGUUGAUUUUGGCUUAAUCCCAAGUCCCACAUCGGUGGGUUCAUUGUUUGGAAAGGAAGUUUGAGGGUUAUAAAUUAACCUCUCCUCCUUCACUGUUAUAUAUCCCAAUUUGUAAUAUCUUCUCCCAUAAUAAUAAAAGUGGGUUGUUUCAGCUGUGCUCGGAGAUUAGGCUAAAGUGGCCGAACUCCGUUAACAAUUUUCUGGUGUGUUUUUUCCUCUUUAUCUUUUUUAUUAUUCCGCUUUAUUUAUUCAAUAUCAUUUAUCGGGUAGCUCUGUUAGUGUUCUGUUUUAGUGGAAAAAUUACCCAUUUUUUGCCAACACUAACAAUAACUGAAAUUCACAAUUUGUUCAUCUAGAAAGUUUUAUCUUGCAAAAUAGAUAUUUAUAUUUGCGUAUUUUCAAAAGAUAUAUGUAUAUACAUCCUAACGCACAUGAGAAAAGUUUUUUAUAUUAAUGAAAAAUAAUUUUUAAAUAUAAAUUUUAAAUAAAUAUAUUUUUUGUUUAUUAUAUUAAUUAUUUUUUAUUAUUUAGAUGAAUUAGAUAAAUGAUCUCAGUAAUAUUCUCAUGACUCAUUCGUAAUAAGAUAUGGGUAAAAAAUAUUAAUAUGAUAUUCUGGUUUUCAAUGAAAUUUAUAUUUUAAUUGUACUAAUAAAUUGACUAAUAAAAUACUUUAUUAAAUAUAUACAUUUUAAGAUAAUACAUGCAUACACAUUAUUACUAUUCUAAUUGAAAAAUAAUAUAUAUAUAUAUUUAAAUUUUAUUAUAAAAAUGACUUAGUUCUGACUAUUAUAUUUUAUGAGUAUUCAAAUUUAAAUAAUUUAUGUACUUCAGAAAGAAAAGAAAAACACAUUAUUAAAUAUCAAAAAACCAUCAAGCAUUGUUGAAUUUCAUGAAGGUGAUAUGAAUUAGGGAUUAAGGAGAGUUUCUUCCUACAUCCCAUACUUCAGAAAAUUCUCAAAUUAUCCGUUGACAAUUUUCAUUCAACAUUUUUUCUUUAAUUCUAGAAUGUGGAAUCCGGAGACUUCUUAAGUUAUAGAAUCCAAAAGUUAAAAUUUUUAUAUCAGAUUAUACAAUUCAGGAUAUAAAGUUUUGUAUUUCAAAUUGUAUAAUUCGAAAUACAAAUUUGUAUUUCAUAGUGUAGAAUCUGGUAUGGAGAAUUUUGAAAAUUUUGAGAGUAUGUGGGUGUAGGAAGAAAUUAUGGGAGUACAAAAAGAAAUUUACAAAAUUUUAAUCCACGCAGGCUCGGUUUAUGUAGUCCUUUUAAUUGUCCAUCAAUUCCUUAGAAGUAGUCCAUAAAAAAUCACACAAUUUUCCUAAGUCUACGACAUGAAAACCUAAUUGUUUUAACUAGUUUCCUUCUUUGUUUUGAACUCUUCUUUGGUUUUAGUUUUAAGCAAGGUUCUUAAACAUUUAAAUUGCAGUAGGCCGAGACACUUUGGAUUCGUUUCUAUAAGAAAUUAUGUAAAUUAAUAUCUAUAAAGGGACUCACAUGACUUAGAGUUUGAGUUUGGAACCCGAAUAUGAUUUAAUAAUAAUAAUAGAAUUAAAGGGUCUGUUGGUUAACGUGAGAAUAAAUAUAUGAUGAUACUUAAUGAAAAACCUACAUUUGAUGGAGAUUAGGAAUAAAAAGUUAUAGGGUUCUGUAUCUGCAAAUAAUAGUUUUCUCACUGUUAACCAUCACAAAAGUGUGUGACAAGAACAAAAUUGCUAAGAGAUAGAUUAGGACAAAGGAGACACAGUAAUUGCUCAAGUAGGAUCACUCAUGGAUCAAGGUAAGUGCCCAUUCCUUCUUGAUUGUAUGGAUAUAUGUGAGAAUCAUGAUAUGAUAAGAUUUAUAUGUGAACAUGAAUGUAUGCGUUUAUAAUCAUGUUUAAUCGUGUUUUAAUUUACAGUUUCCUCUAAUUUUUAAGUUGAAUUGUGUUCUUGAACAUGACUUGUAGAAUUGCUUUAAAUUGGGUAGAAAUAAGUCGGUGGAUAUAUAAAUAUGAAAUGCAUAACUAUAUUAUCUAAAAACAACAAAGAAAAUUAUGAAAGAGAAAUUAAGAGAAUUAGUCGAGACCUAUAAGAGCAAAGAGAAAAAAAAUAUAUAGGACAACUCACAACACAUUCACACCCUUAUAUGCAUGUUCUUACAUUUCUAGUUUUGUUUUUAAAAUGUAAAUGUACUUGUCUAUAGUUCAACUUUCUUAAUUUUUGUUUGUUUUGGUGCUCAUAUUCUAGACCUCUUCCUUAUUUGAGUGUCUUUAUUGAAAUUUGCUUUAAUUUUUGCUUGUUUUCUUUUGGAAUUUUUUUAGUUUUGUCAUCUAUAAUCUUUCAAUUGAAAUUUGUCUUCUUCAAAAUGUGCUUUUCUUGAUUUUUUUUCUUCUCACUCUACUUGGAAAUUAUUUGAUCACUCUACUUGGAAAUUAUUUGAACUCUUCCUUCCCUUGAAUAUUGAAAGAAACUCACUUCUAAAGUAGCUUUCUAGGUGUUGAUAGAAGAACUUUUUAAAGACUACCUUUUUAGGAGACUUUGGAAGAAAAGAAGAGCAUUUUGAAGAAAACAUCAUUGACUAGUGGACGAAAACAUUAAAAAAAACCCGCAAAGCAUCAAAGCCGAAUUAAUGCCAUAAUUCUCCAUCACAAAUGUAGAAAUCCAUCACUAAAGUUCUUGUUUUGUAACUUGUUCUUGUCACAAUUUUUUUUAGCAAUUUUCUUUCUUUUUCUUAAGUGUAAUCUAUCUCCAUAUAUCUGUAUAAUAGUUUCAUUUUAGACUUUUGGAAAUGUUACAACAAACUCAAAAGUAUCACUUGGACACUGGUAUAGUUUACUUUUGUUUUAGCUCUCCUUUACUUUAAGUUGUUUUACCAUUUAAUGCUUCAUAUUGGUGGCAAGACUAAGAAAGAAAAAUCUCUUGAACUAGUUAUUGUCUUUUGGUCCUAAGGAUUCUACUCACACACUUGAAAGAUUUUUUAAAUUUUUUAUAAAGAAAAUUUGUGAAACUGGUAGGAAACGUUUUAACUAAAAAAUAAUUGAUACUUAAAAGUGUGUCAUCAAAUUCUCUUUCCUGAUAAUAUACUUAGUAAACUUUCAAGAUCUUUUCCUUUUAAAGAACCUCUCUAGACAAACACAUUUGUAAAAAAGUUAUAAAAAAUCAUAUAAAAGUUGGAUUUCUAUGAAACCAAAUUCAACUUCUCCACAGUCAAAUUCUAGCCAUGUAGAGUGAACAUGUCUAUUCAUAUAAAUACAUAAGCACCCACACUAGGUUUAUUUUGAUUUUUUUUUUUCUUUUAAAAACUCCAAUUUGUUAGUAUAAAAAACCUUUAAAAAAAUAAAAAAAAUUAGAAGAUAAGUUUGAAAUGCGUUGCGAGACAAAAAUACCCCUACCGGCCCCAAAAAUACAAAAUAUUCCAGGGUGGCACACUAGUGCAUUACACGUGUUCAAUGAAUCCGUGGAACACUCGACAAGCACUUACGGUGAAUUUAAUAAUUUUUUAUAAUUGAUUAAAAUUUAUUACAAUCAACCGUUUUAAUAAAAUAAUUUUCUAUCAUCACAAAAGGUAGAAAAAUAAUCACACUCCGUACUGUAUGAUAGAUUCCAUGAUGAAUGUUAUAAAAUUUAAUUACAUAUUAUCCAUGACUUGUCUCGGUCUUUCUAUUCGAGAUGACAGAGUCACACGUUGGCACGACUCUGUUUACCUGAUCGACGAUACACAAUCAGACUGACCGACACGUAUAACUAUUAAUGCUCAAUUUAAAGUUAGUGAAACUAAAUCAUCAUUAAUGAUUAGGUAAUGUAACUCUCAGGUUCAAUGAAUUAAGUCUAUUAAAAUAAUAUAAAUAACACAUAUUCUAAUGACACAAUCUACGUCAUUUAUUAGUAUGCACCUACCUAAAUACCGAUUACUCGUUUUACUGACUUGAACGUCGAGUGUUUUCCGCAGGUACUCCGUUCGGUGUUCACCCAAAACCAAGAGCCGAAGGAGAAGCACAAAGACGAAAAGGACCACAGUCAAGCGUCCAACAACUUGUUCAACCGAAAAAAGAAGACGAAGAGUUCAAUAUUUCUCUAGUCUCAUCUUCCUAAUAAGAACUCAUAUUCUGUAAUAAAAUUAUUAUUAAAAAACAAUAAUAAGCAGAAAUCAGUAAAAAAGGAAACAAAAAAAUAGAAAGAUAAUAAUCUAACUGUUUUUAAACAAUAACAACUUAAUUUUAUCUAUUCAUUGUAACUAUCAUUCCUCCAAUGGCACGUAUAUAACCACAAGCAUUCUCGAUUAUCGCAACGCACUGAACUUCACUGCUUCACUCGCUUUCUUCUCUCUGUUUUUCCAUUUCAGCGAAAAUGCCAGGUCUCACAGCACCUUCUGAUUACUCCCAGGAGCCUCCGCGUCACCCUUCUCUUUCCGUCAACGCCAAGGCAAGCCAAUUUAUUAUCCUUUUUCUCUCUCUCUGUUCCCCAAUUUUCGCAAACUCUAAAUACCAAUCGUCGCUGCGUUUUUUCCUUUUCCCUCUCAGACACCGUUCAAUGCGGAGCCACCGCGUUCGGCGUUGGUUUCCUCCUACGUUACCUCUUCCGAUUUCUUUUACAAGAGGAAUCACGGUCCAAUUCCCGUCGUUGAGGACAUAAACAGGUUUCUUCAUCGCUGUGCCUUAAUUAUGUAGGUGUUAGUUUAUCUUGCUUUGUGACGCGUUUGGUUGUGUUGAGCAGGUACUCCGUGUCCGUGUCCGGUUUGCUGGAGCGUCCCAAACAGAUCAUGAUGAAAGAUAUCUGGUUAGUGUGUGUGUGUGUGUGUGUUUGGUAUAGCUAAUGGUUAAACUUGUACAUUGAAUGUCGUAAUUUGAGCUAGGAUUUGCCAUGCGUGGCACGAUUUGAGGUUGAAUGUUGGCUAUUAUGUCAAAUUAGUCACUUAAUUUUGCAGCGUUGGUCAAAUUAGUCCUUGAAUGAUGUGAACUAUGCCUAAGGUUUUUGGCUGAUGAGCAUGGUUUUAAAGUACAGUCUCGGUUGUGGUUUGGUCGCAUCUCUUAUAUUUUGGGAACAAAUGCGGUCGAUGCAGCCAUAAUUAUGAUUGUUUUGACAAUGUGGCCAUAAUUGUGGCUGUGGACCGUUUUAAAAGCCUUUUUGAUGGCUAAAAUGCAUAUUAAGAGUGUUGAACACACCCUAUUUGAUUAUUCGAAUGCUAUAUUUUCACUUUUCUUUUACGUUUUAUACUGUCAGAUUCAUUCCAUGCAGUACAUUCGGCUGUUCCACUGUUCUGUUAUCAAUCUUCAGAAAUGGAGUUCAUGCACUUAGUUAUGACUUAUUGUUUUAUUUCACGAGCCUUGUAUAUUGUCCAUUUCUGGUUUUAAAUAUAACUAUGUUACUAAACAUUAUUAUACGAUUUAUUUCAAUCUAUAUUUUUCAUUGUGACUAAGUUUUAUGAUUUGAUAUCAUUUAUGAUUCACAAUUCACAAAUUAGUUGGACAGUCAGGAUUCAACAAUCUUGCUUUAAAAAAUUAUUUGAUUAUUUACUCAGUAAAAAUUGGAUAAGUCGUAAUAGUGACAUUUCAUGUAUCCAAGAGUUAUUAACAACACCAACCUGCUCUGAGAAAAUAAUUUGGGUUUUUUAAUAUUUGUCAUGUUUACAAUGAAAUGAUCAUGUUAUUUGAUGACAGGAUGCUCCCAAAGUAUAAUGUCACUGCUACAUUACAGGUGUGUGNNNNNNNNNNNNNNNNNNNNNNNNNNNNNNNNNNNNNNNNNNNNNNNNNNNNNNNNNNNNNNNNNNNNNNNNNNNNNNNNNNNNNNNNNNNNNNNNNNNNNNNNNNNNNNNNNNNNNNNNNNNNNNNNNNNNNNNNNNNNNNNNNNNNNNNNNNNNNNNNNNNNNNNNNNNNNNNNNNNNNNNNNNNNNNNNNNNNNNNNNNNNNNNNNNNNNNNNNNNNNNNNNNNNNNNNNNNNNNNNNNNNNNNNNNNNNNNNNNNNNNNNNNNNNNNNNAAUUUCCAUAGCAACUUGGAUGCCACUUGAGUACUUAGCUACAAAAUAAAUCUCUACCCUAAUAGAUUUCAUAUUCUAAUCACUGUUUCAUUAUAUUUGCCUUUUUCAGCCAUAUGGGGUGGUGCCAAAUUGUCUGAUGUUCUAGAACUUGUUGGAAUUCCAAAGUUGACUAGUGUAACUCAAUUUGGUGGAAGACAUGUGGAGUUUGUAAGCGUUGAUAAGUGCAAGGUGAUGGCUAUGGCUCAAAUGUUUACUCCAGAUACAUUGACUUCAUUUUGAUUAUUUGUACAUAUUCAUUGAAGUGUUGUAUUAUUUUUUUCAAAAUUACAAAAUCUGAUAGGAGGAAAAUGGAGGCCCAUACAAGGCUUCAAUACCACUUAGUCAGGCCACAAAUCCCGAAGCAGACGUUCUUCUAGCUUAUGAAAUGAAUGGUGAAGUAAGUACCUUUGACUACGCUAUCUUCCUGCAGCACUAAAGUUUUCAAGAAUUUUUUAUUAUCAGAUUUCAUUACCUUGGGGAAGAAACAAACAUAAAAGGUUCUCUGUUCAUGCCAUGCUGUAGGUUUCUGACAUCUUUACUAGAAGUACUGCAGGUUUCAUUGUUUAAUUUGUUUGUAAGAUAUUAAAUGAAUAUUGUUUAUUACAUGAAUGGUUUUCUUUUUCUGUUUUUUGUAUUUUUGGUCAUUGAUGAACAUUGAUGACAGGGAAUAAAAACAGGAACGGGUAACGUAGCAUCAAAGGUUAUUGAACAAAUUAAUGAAUUGAUUAUUUGACUUAAAGAAAUAAGAUUGAAGAGACAUGUAGGAACAAGGAGAACAAAUCUUAAGUUUUAGGAAAGAAAAAGGGAAACUUGACCGAUUCCUUGAGAAACAACUUUAGAUCCAUAAGCUAAGGUUAUAAAAUGAGGAAUUUUAGGAAAAGAAAGGAAAGAGAACAUAUAGAGGUAUUGCCAGAAAUAUGAUCAAAAGCACUUGAGUGAAUUAUCCAUAGACUUUGACUUUCCACUGAUUGUGAAAUGUAAUUGUUGACAAAUUGGUUUUUGUAGAUGAUUGUGCUAGGCUGUUGAAUUUAAACCUCAAAUAUUAUUGAUAUUCCUUAUCAGAAAACUUUAGUUCAACAACCUAAGAUUUUGAGAUAUUGGCUAUCUUGUUAGGAAAUCUAUGGAAAAGGUAGCAGUUCUCUUGGGUAAGACCCACUUUUUAACAAUAUGUGCAUUGAGGAUGUCCUUUACCACCACAUCCUCCUCUAAUGCCACAAACUUCUCUUCCACAUGUAGAUACCAUAAUAGAGGAUUCAGUAGAUCCUUGAAAAUUUCCACCUUUAAGAGUUGAAAAUAAUAGAGGAUUCAGUAGAUCCUUGAAAUUUUCCACCUCUAAGUGUUGGAACAUGAAGAAAAGUCAGUCAUGCCACUAUAGGUAGUUAUGCAUGUCUGGAGAAGAUUUAAACCCUACAAAGGAGAUCAAAUGGAGGGUAGCCCUGUCACGUAAAGCUAGGAGGUCAAGAAAAACUAUAGGCAAAGUCAUUAUGAAGGAUUUAGUAGUCAAUGAUUUGUCUAAUGACUACAGAUGUGAUUAACAGUUGCACGUUAUCAUUGCGGUGUUGUUGGAACAAGGUAGCCAACCCUACCUGGUGGGAAAGAGGCUUCAUUACUUCGGUUGUAUUUAGCAUCACAAUCCAGAAAAAAUUCUACACCUCUUCGAGACCAUAACCUACGAAAAGAACAUGAAUACUAGAAUGCUUUUAUAACUGGAUUUUGAAUUAGAAACUGCGAAAAGAAAUUCAAAAUAUAAGCACCAGAAGGGUGGUCAUAUUUUUUACUUUUAUUGAUCUAAAAUAUGAGGGAAAUGAUUAUUGUUCAUAAUUGUUAAACCCUAGAUAAGGGAGAAACAUUGAGUUGAAACCGCGAGUUUCUAAGACAACAUGGGUGCUUUAUUUAUAUUAAGAAAAAGAAAUCAAUAUAAUAAAUAGAUUGUGUUAUUUAUGCCAACAAGUAGGUCUGGCACUAGUCUAUGGACUUUGAACUGUCAUACAUCUGAUCUAAAUAAAGUAUCUUUAAUUUAGAAUAUUUAUUGAGUUUCCUCUUUCCUUUUUUCCUACUUCUUUACAUGUAUCCAAUAAAUUCAUAGUAGAAUAAAUAAGAUUAGCUAUUGAAUAGAUUUCGCAAAGUUUAAAACAAUUACUUUCUUCUAGGUAACGAGAUGAACAUCCAGGGGGUAUGCAUGACUACUAUUCAUUAUAGACUUUGUCAUUGAACCAUAACUAUCUUUAAUCUUUGUCUUUCCUUUGUAACAGAAUUAUACAUUAUACUUUCAGUGUGAAUUUACUUCUGGAUUUUUCUUUUGGCUUUGAAUGGUGAGGUAUAUUAUGUAAUUAUUUUAGUUAGUGUUUUUAGCUCUGUUUAAUGCCCCUUUCAUUAGCCUCUUAAUAGGGAUCAUGGGUAUCCAUUACGUGUGGUUGUUCCUGGUGUCAUUGGAGCUCGAUCUGUUAAAUGGCUGGAAGAGAUCAAUAUCAUUGCAGAGGAAUGCCAGGUCUAAUAUAUUAUGUAGAGUUGUAUUGAUAUACCAAACAUUUACUAUUCAAAAUGCCCUAUAACUUCAAAUUAUCAUGUAUCAGGGUUUUUUCAUGCAAAAGGACUACAAAAUGUUUCCACCAUCAGUUAACUGGGAUAAUAUUGAUUGGUCUACCCGCAGACCCCAAAUGGAUUUCCCAGUUCAGGUAUUUUGAUUAUUUUACUGUUUCUGGCUUCCUUUUUAAGUAACAUAAAACCUGUCAGUUAGUAUUUUUAAGUCCCGUUUAGUACAUAUAAUUUGUUGCAUGUUGAGUAAUCAGGUCAUGAUGAACCAAGUAGAACAAGUUUGUUUGUUUUUUACCUCUUUGAAACUUUAGCAAUGGUGACAAAAUGGUAAUUUGUUUACCCAGGUGUGUGUGUGUGUGUGUGUGUGUGUGUUGGUAUAAGGUUGUGAAGGAAUACAAACUCUUUCUGUUACUCUGCUUUUUGUAGCAGAGUAGGUGUUGUGUCUUAGGAUUCCCGUUUCUUGAUUUCCUAACAAAAACUAAUACUUAAUAUUGUUGUGGCAGUGUGUUAUAUGUUCUCUAGAAGAUGUGAGCACAAUAAAGCCUGGGAAGGUUAGUUUAUUUAAUCAUGUGUAUACCUGGUUGAAUGAGUUUCUCCAUAAGUUCCUUUUAGGAGAAGAAAAAUUGAAAUUAGCUAAUUCAUAAGCUAAAAGUAGCUUAUGCAUGAGCCAAUUUGUAGAUGCUCUCUCUCAUAUAGCUUCUCUAAUUUUAGCUUAUUGAGAAAUCAAAUUUGUUUUUUAUUCUUAUUUUUCUUCCCUUGAAGAGUUUACUGAGAAACUGGUCCAAACCGGCCUAUGAUGGGCUAUUCAUGAAUAUUUGGGAAGCAUUAAUUCGUCUUUUCUUUUUUUUGAGUUACAUGAAUGUGUUUUUAUUAGUCACUAUGAAGUUCCAAAACAUAUAAAUUUUCUUUGCUUUUAUUAGUCACUAUGAAGUUCAAAAACAUCCCUGUAUUUGACUUUUUCUUCAGAAUAUAUUGUUCUGGUUCCUUGAUCGAUUCCCAGUACUGAGAAAAUUAUUUUUGUUUUCCUCUUAUGUAAAUUCAAAUAAUAUUUUUAUUUGAAGUUUCCUGAAAAUGAAAACACGUCCACAAUCUUUCUUUGCACAAAUGAAUUUUCAAUACACACCUAUCCAUCUACCUUAACUCAAAUUUUGGCAUAUAUUCCAUUUGAUGAUUUUUCGCAAUUUUUUUCUUACAUUUUUGUCCUUGUUGUAAUUGACUGAAAUCUUAAUUCUUGCAUAUCGUGUGCAGGUAAAAAUUAGUGGAUAUGCCUCCUCAGGAGGUGGCAGAGGCAUUGAGAGAGUAGAUGUCUCUAUUGAUGGAGGCAAAACAUGGAUGGAAGCUUCAAGAUUUCAGAAAAGUGGUGUUCCCUAUAUAUCAGACCAUGCCAGCAGUGACAAAUGGGCAUGGGUAUUCUUUGAAGUCACGGCUGAUAUUCUUCAGAGCACUGAGAUAAUUGCAAAAGCGGUAUGUCGUCCCAUUGUUGUGAUUCUAGUAUCUUUUCUAAUGUACUUAAUGAGUCUGUAAAUCUGUUGUUAACAUGUAUAGAUGUAUCAUGUACGACCACGAUGGUAGGAUAAUGGUCAUUCAAUUCAAAUUUAAGUGGUUAAAAGUCAUCUAUUGUUGGGGUUAGCAAUUAACCCCAACCUUUGUACCAAUAUACUGGAUACAAAGUUGUGUCAUGCUCCAUUCUCAAUCAAUACCAUGACUCUUUUUUUCAGCCUUUGAUUGUUCCAGUGUUUUUACUGUAGGCGUGUAUGGAUUAGUGUUGAUCUGUAGGUAAGUUGUGAGUUUGUUUUAGGUGAAAUGCAAGCAUUUGGAUGGAUUAUUUAUUGUAAAUUGGAUCCAUGAUGUUUACAAUGCCAUGUGUAUAAUCAAUUAUAAGCUUUCCAUAAUUGAUUAUGUAUUUACAUAAUGUAUUAUGCAUGACAAUGAUCGAUUAUGUAGAAUAUUUAGAGUUAAAUGUCGGAGGCAAUGUGCUUUGCUGAUAUAGAUUCUACCUGAUAGUACCAUAGAAGAAUGUGUUGACUUAGAAGAGGAGGUAAGCAAAGUGGAAGGAGUAGGUUUAACCCUUGAGGAGGACCUUCAAGCUCAAGAUGCUAAGUUAAACGGAAUAGAGAUUUUAUUAAUUAAAAGAACAAAGGUUACACUGAAGAAUUUACAGGAUCAGUGUAGUUGUCUGAGUGACAGCUGUAUAACUAACUACCUAUAUUAACACCUUAGUUGACUAUAAUACUUAACAACCUAGUCAUUGUGUAAUUGACUUAACUACUUUGCUAACAACUAACCGCCCAAGAAGUUGAAUAACUGCUAUUCUAAUACUAUAUUCACACCAUUUUCAUUAUGGUUCAGAGGGAUCACCCCUCUAAUUUAGUCGGGGAUAUUUUGUGACAUCUCACCUUUUGUCUAGUUUGCAGGUAGAUUCUGCUGCAAAUGUCCAGCCUGAAAAGGUUGAAGACAUUUGGAACCUGAGAGGGAUUUUGAACACUUCAUGGCAUCGGGUAAAAGUCCAAGCAAGUCACUCAAACCUGUAAAAGUAGCACCAACAUUCCAAUACAAUAUUUGAUGUUGGGCACCUACAAAUAUCUCUUCUUGCACUUACCUUUGAGCACUCAAAACACCGAACAAUGCAUCUAGGCAUCGCGAUAAGCUAUGUAAGCUAUAGGAAAGGUGUUAUAAAUAAGUAAUCGCUUUACUUUAGUUUUGCAGAGUUUUACAUGGAAUAUCUGCUACUCCUUCUCUUCAAGGAAAUAAUUUGAGAUCUUAAUCAUGAUGCAUUUGCUGUUCACCCAUUUUAUCAUUUUCCCCGCACCUUAAAUUGUGUCACAUCUACGCAUUUGAUUUAUUGUUAUCCUAGUAAAUUAUCAUUCUGAACUUUGAAAAAUAGAAUUGAUGUUUUUGAAACAGUUAUUAGACCAGUAAAAAAUAGUAUGAAUAAGUAACGAACAAAUCUGUAUUACAUGAUUCAUCCGCUACCACCACUGAAUCAACAAAUCAUGAUCCGCUACAUGGUUAUAGAAAUCAGUCAUGUCUGUUUUAGUUUGUUACGUUUCUUUUAUUUUUUAUGUAAAAGAAACAUUGUAUUCAAAACUUGAAUGAGAAUAUACAUAUACUCAGUAAAUUUCUUUCCAGUUUUCUUAUGAUAUCUCUAGCCCCUCCUUUUCUCUAGGAGCUAUGUUGUGCAACUCUCCAGAAAUUCAAAUUUAGAAUCGGGAAAUGGUGCAAUCACUAUCCUAGACCCUAUUCUUAGGUUUAAAUGAUGCCCCAACCAUUCUUGGGCAAUAAUGAUGCCCCAACCUCUUUGAUCGCGAACAAGAGAUACAGAUUUGUUGAAGAAGCUCCUGGUGCCACCUGUUAUAGAUUCACACUAUUUUUCUUGGAAAAGAUGCAACUAAUGAAUCGUGAAUUCCAUCUCCUUAUCAAUAGGAGAGUGUUGUUUUCAUGGAAAAUGUUAUAGACAUCUGGUCUGAUUUAAAAGAAUGAUUCUUACAAAGAGAUUUGAUUCGUGUUUCAGAGCUUCAACAAGGAAAUCCAUAAUUUCAAAUGAGGACCUCUCGGUGUAACUGAAUUUUCCACUAAGCUUAACAAGCUGUGGGAGAAGCUUGAAAGUUAUAGAUCGAUUCUUACUUGCACUUGUCCUAUUCGAUGUAAUUGCCAAGUGUUGAGUAAUGCAAAAAAUUAUAGACUUCAAGAUACAAUUAUUCAGUUUCUGAAUGGUUUGAAUGACUAUCUUAGUACUGUCAAAUCUCAGAUAUUGUUGAUGGACUCUUUACCUUCUCUGAACAAAGUUUUUUCUAUCAUAAUUCAACGUGAAAGGCAUGGUAACCUAAGUAUUGGUGAAGAGAAACAAAGUGUUUGCUGGAAACAUCGAGAACUUUUGCAGAGGCAAAGGCAAUAACAGUUGGGGACGUGUCUCAGAAAAGCUUUGUUCCUAUUGUGGAAAGAAUGGGCAUUGUUAACGUGUGUUAUAAGAAACAUGAGUAUCCUCUGAAUUUUGGUUCAAAGAAUAAUUUACAGUGCACAAUGUUGUCUAGGAAAAGAUUGAGGAGAAUCAGGACCAACCAAGAAACGAGGAUUCAUGUAGUCCUCAACAAGUAUUGAAUGACUUGAAUAGAAACUUGCUUACAUUAGUACUCCAAUUAAGUUUGCUAGCUUCUUCAUGCCACACUUCAAAUCAUGUCAGCAUUAGCAUGCCUACACAAUCCCAUCUAUCCUUAGAUAAAAUUCUAUAUUUUAUCUUGUCCUUCAUGUCAAUAUUCUAACUCCUCGAUAUUAGAUUCAUGAGCCAUAGAUAACAUAUAUUGUUCCUUGAUAUUAUUUGAUAUUGUCAAUAUUGUUAACACCUUGUAGUUUUGAUUUAGUGCUUAAAUUAACAAGAUAUGUAGUUGUGUCUUAUAUGACGAAUAUUAUAUCAUACAACUGCACAAUUUCUUAGAUGAUAAGAGCGCCAUGUUGAUCAACCACAUUUUCUAAUAAUUAAAAAUUAAAGAUGAUCAGACGAUAAGUAUAGCUAAAUGAUCAAGCUAACACUUUCAUGAAAAAUAUUUUUGAAGUUUGAGUUUGUAUUGCAAAAAAUGUAUUCUACAUCUAUUCCCAAGGAAGUAUGCACCAAACAACAACAUUUAAUUAUAUCUUGGGAGUAGAGCCAAAGCUGCAACAUUUGUCAAUUCUCCUAACACAAGUUUUUUUUAACUCUAGCCCAGCUAUAUGUCCUCUCCAGUGUAUUUAACCAUUAUUUGGUGAACAAGUUAUGCUAUGGAAGAAGAUAAGUAUUGUCAUCUAUCUGAAAGAUUAAGAGAAGAGAAAUUAAUGUUACAUGUCAUGCAUAAUGUUUCUCAACGCAAAAACUCAUUAAAAGCUAGUAGAAGAAGAAUAAGACAAUCAAGAGAGUUCAAAGCUACUCAAAAACUAAAAAAGGAAAUACAAAGACUACUUUUUCCAAGCCUAUAUAAAGAUAUGCUUCAAAGAGAAGAAAAGCUUUGUAAGAGUACAAUUUGUAUUUAUUCCUACAAACUAGUAGAGAGAACUUAAACCUUUUAUACAUUGAAAGACGUUACCCUCUCUAGUGAGCGAAAACAAUGAUAUAUUAAUCGCUCAAAUUUUGUAACUAUCUUGAGUCAGGAGUGACUUGUGAAAGAACACUUAGUGGUUAGCCAUAAGUGGUUUGAUUAAAGAACACUUUGUGGUCAUUCAAGAGUGACUUAAAUAAAUAAUACUUUACUGAGGUUAGUCAAGAGUUGCUAUAAGCCCAAAGAAUACUCACUGUUAACCAGGAGUAGCUUAAUCAAAUAAUACUAAUUUAUAUUUCGUAGCGGUACUCUAUUCAAUGAAACUUUAUUGGUCAAGAACUAGACGUAUUGCGACAGACGAACCAAUAUAAAAAAUAUUAUGUAAAUACUCUCCUUCAAUAAUGGAAGUUGCAAAAGUUAAAAGUCUUUUAUUUUUGUAAAUACUGAAUCUAUCGUCUAAUUGUGAAAUAUUAAAUAAUGCUUAUGAAAAAGAAAUAUUUUUUUAAAACAAAAUUUAACUCUCCUUUCUUGUUUUUUUUUUCACAUAUACCUUUCAUCAAAAUAAAUUUGUUAGUGUAAUUCUACCUAAAGGGCAUAAAACUUUGCCCAAUCACUCUGGUAUAAUAGUUUUCUCUCUUGGCCUUAUUUUGACAAAUGAGUUAUUUCUCCCAGAAUUCAAUUUUUACCUUUUUUUUCAUGUCUAAAUUAUGUCAAAAUUCUAAAUGUUUUGUAAGUUUUUUGUUUGAGAAUUGUCAAUUCUAGAAUAUGAAAUCAAUGAGGAUGAUUGAUUUGGCUAAAUAAGUGGGAGGUUUGUAUUUACAGAUGAUAUAUACUUAAAAGAAAAUGGUAGAGGCUCAGUUCAUCAAUGCUACAACAGAAAGCAUACCAAAAUGAAGUUUAUGGCACUUUAGGUUGGGGCACCUUUGAAAUGAGAGAUUAAGAACUAUAUUUAGGAAAGAUCCUAACAUUUUUAUAAACAAGGAUGUUAUUUAUGAUAUUUUCAAUUUGGAAAAACAAAUGAAAUUGUCAUAUUUGAUUAGUAAGAAUAAAGCCUUUGAAAUUUGUGAGUUGUUACAUUUUGACAUAUGGGUUUCUAUCAAAUAAAUUUUGUUCAUGGUCACAAGUACAUUCUUAUUGUCGUAGAUGACUAUAGCAUAUUUGUGUGGGUUGUUUGAUGAAAUCCAAAUUCGACGCACACAUUUGCAAAAUCAUGUAGAUAUGUUGGAAAUGUAAGAAAUUAUGUAAAUUAAUUUCUAUAAAGUGACUCACAUGACUUAGAGUUUGGGCUUUGGGCCCAAAUAUGAUUUAAUAAUAAUAAUAUAAUUAAAGGCUCAUUGGUUAACAUGAGAAAUAUAUAUCUGAUGAUAUACCUAAUGAAAACCGACAUCUGAUGGAGAUUGGGAACUAAAGGCUAUAGGGUUUUGUCUCUGCAAAUAAUAGUUGUCUCAAUAUUAACCAUCACGAAAGUGUGUGACAAGAACAGAAUUGCUAAGAGAUAGAUUGGGACAGAGGAGAUAAAGUAAUUGCUCAAGUAGGAUCACUCAUGGAUCAAGGUAAGUGCAUAUUCCUUCUUGAUUGUAUGGAUAUAUGUGAGAAUCAUGAUAUGAUAAGAUCUGUAUAAGAACAUUUUUGUAUGCGUUCAUAAUCAUGUUUAAUCGUAUUUUGAUUUACAUGUGGUAUCAUAGCGUCGUUGCUCUUGUUGUGAUUCUCCAUUAAUAUUUUUCUAAAAUCAAAGAACCCUAAUUUUAAAAUAUUCCCAAUUUAAAAACUCUAAUUUUAAAAUUAGGAUUUAUAGAUUAAGGUUUCCAUUCCUCUAUAAUAUAUCUCUAAUUGUCCUAAACCAUAAAAAAUCAAAGAACCCUAAUUUUAAAAUUAGGGUUUAUGGAUUAAGGUUUCCAUUAACAUAACCCUAAUCUUCCUUUACCCAACACCAUUAACGGUGUUAAAAACCCUAUGAACCUAUUAGUGGGACCGCAAGCCUUCGCCGCUUCCGUGAACCUUGUUUGCACGAUGGUAGUGUUGUGACGGUGAUAGGAGCCUUUCGAAAAGAAAGGCGUGAUGAAGAUGAUGAUGUGGAUUCAAUUCCUGAUGAUAUUAAUGAAAAGCAUGAAUUGUAAUAUAAUAUUGAAUUCAAUUUAUGAAUAGCAAUGAAUUCAUUCCUGCACCUUAUGUCAUUCAUUCAUCUUAUGUUACUUUAUUUUUAAUUCAAUUACUGAAACUUAUGAAUUAAUUUCCUUACCUCAUUUAUUUUAUUAAUGAUUUCAAUUAAAAUUUUAAUUAAAGUGAGGAAUGAAAAAUUAUUUUUUCCACUUUAUGUAUUAAUUUUAAUGUAAUUUAAUUUGCAUUAAAUUAAAGUUUUAAUGAAAUUUUAUUAUGUUAUAAUGUAAUUUAGUUUGCAUUAAAUUAAAGUUUAAUUAAUUGAUUGAAAGUGAGGAAUGGAAAAUUAAUUUUUCUGCUUUAUGUAUUAUUUUUAAAUUAUGAUUUUGGAAUUAUUGUAUGAUAGAUUUGUAAUCACCAAAGUGAUCAAAUCUUUAUGUUUUAUUUAAUUCCAAAUUAUGGAUGAAUUUUAUUUCAAUUAAUGAUAUGAUUUUGGAAUUAUUUGUAUGAUAGAUUUGUAAUCACCAAAGUGAUCAAAUCUUUAUGUUUUAUUUAAUUACAAAUUAUGGGUGAAUUUUAUUUCAAUUAAUGAUAUAAUUUUUGGAAUUAUUUGUAUGAUAAAUUUGUAAUUACCAAAGUGAUCAAAUCUUUAUGUUUUAUUUAAUUCUAAAUUAUGGAUGAAUUUUAUUUCAAUUAAUGAUAUAAUUUCUGAAGUUAUUUGUAUGAUAGAUUUGUAAUCACCAAAGUGAUCAAAUCUUUAAGUUUUAUUUAAUUUCAUAUUACUAAUAAAUUUUAUUUCAAUUACCUAUAGAAUGGAUGCUAAAUUAUUUAUGUAUGGGUAAAUGGAAAUUCAUUAUUAUAAGACAUUUUUGGAUCACCCAAAGGUUGAUUAGUUGUCCUUAUAAUUAAUGGAUAUGAUUGUUGGUAGUGAGUAUGUGUUAUUAGUUUUGCUUGUAUAUCCAAAGAUAACAAGUGUUUCUAGUUAAUGCAUAUAUCUUACCAAAUAAAGUUAAUACUAUUAGCAUCAUUAUGUUUUGUGUAUUAAUGAAUCUCCCAAAGGAGAACAUUAGUAUACAUAGAAUGUUUUCUGAAUCUGUAUUGUAUGUUUAGUUUAUGACUCAAAGUAUUAAUGUUAAGCAUGUGUGAUCAAGUAUAUGUUCCUGUAUCUUUAUGCGAAUGAGCAUAGCAAGUAAUAUUAAGUCUGCUCUUCCCAAAACUGAUAAUGCAAAAGAAUUUAUGAAAUUUGUGGAAGAGCGCUCCCAAACUACUGAUAAGUCUCUUGUUGGGACAUUAAUGAGUACAUUAACCACCAUGGAAUUUGAAGGUUCUCGUACUAUGCACGACAUGUCAUUGAAAUGACUAAUAUUACGACAAGACUUAAGUCUAUAGGAAUGGCAAUGGAUAAGAACUAUAACAUGUUAGUACAGGAAGAGACUAGAUUGAAGAAUCGAGGAAACCACUCUAUACACUAUGUGAACAAUCAGGGAGCUGGAAAGAAGGUCUUCAAGAAACAUGGAAAGGGUAAAGGACCACUGAAGAUAAAUGAGUCCUCUACUAAGCUCCAGAAGAAGAAUGGCAAAUGUCAUUUCUGUAAGAAAUUUGGACAUUUCCAAAAGGAUUUUCUGAAACGUAAGGCUUGGUUCGAAAAGAAGGGUAAGCAUAAUGCUUAUUAUGUAUGUUUUGAAUCAAACCUAACUGAAGUUCCAUAUAAUUCUUGGUGGAUUGAUUCUGGAUGCACAACUCAUGUUUCUAACAUGAUGUAAGGAUUCCUUUCAACCCGAACCAUAAAGCCAAACAAAAAGUUUGUCUUCUUGAGGAAUAGAGAGAAGGUUCCAGUGGAAGCAGUCGGGACUUAUUGUUUAAUCCUCGACACUGGAUUUUAUUUAGACUUGAUGGAUACUUUUUAUGUACCUAGUAUAUCUAGGAAUUUAGUUUCAUUGUCUAAACUUUAUGUUGCCGGAUACUCUUUUAAAUUUGGGAAUGGAUGUUUCAGUUUAUAUCAGCGUACCUAUUUGAUUGGAUUUGGUACUCUUUAUGAUGGAUUAUAUAGAUUGAACCUUGAUAAUCUAUAUGCUGAAACUCUUAUGACCUCGCAUCAUAAUGUUGGCACUAAACGUAGUUUAGUGAAUGAAUGUUCUGCUUUCUUGUGGCACAAACGUUUUGGGCAUAUUUCCAAAGAAAGGGUGGAGAAGAUUAGUAAAGAAUGAAAUACUUCCAAGUUUGGAUUUUAUUGAUCUGAAUGUAUGUGUGGAUUAUAUUAAAGGCAAACAAACAAAACACAUAAAGAAGGGAGCCACAAGAAGUACUCAACUUCUUGAAAUUAUACACAUUGAUAUAUGUGGACUUUUUGAUGCAAGUUCUUUCAAUAAAGAAAGGUAUUUUAUCACCUUUAUUGAUGAUUUUUCACGUUAUGGUUAUGUCUAUUUACUGCAUGAAAAAUCACAAGCAGUGAAUGCCUUAGAAGUUUAUAUAAAUGAAGUGGAAAGGCAAUUAGACAGAAAGGUGAAAAUUGUCAGGUCAGAUAGAGGUGGUGAAUAUUAUGAAAAGUAUGAUGAAAGUGGACAACACCCUGGUCCGUUUGCUAAGUUCCUUGAGAGACAUGUUAUUUGUGCUCAAUACACAAUGCCAGGUACACCACAACAAAAUGGUGUUUUAGAAAGGCGUAAUCGAAAAUGGAUAUGGUUAGGAGCAUAUUAAGUAAGUCAACUGUACCUGUUUCAUUGUGGAUGUAUGCUUUAAAAAUUGCCAUGUAUUUGUUGAACAGGAUUCCUAGUAAGGCAGUUCAAAAUACACCUUUUGAAUUGUGGACAGGAAGGAAACCCAAUUUCAAACACCUGCAUGUUUGGGGAUGUCAGGCAGAAGUUAGAAUAUACAAUCCAUAAGAAAAGAAAUUGGAUGCAAGAACAAUCAAUGGAUAUUUCAUUGGUUAUCCAGCAAAGUCAAAAGGGUAUAUGUUUUACUGUCCUACCCAUAACACAAGAAGUGUUGAAUAUGGAAAUGCAUGGUUCAUUGAAAAUGGUGAAACCAGUGGGAGUGAUACUUCACAAAAUGUGGAGAUUAAGGAAGUUAGAGUACAAGUUCCUUUAACUAGUACCUCUACUUCAAGUAUUGUUGUUCCUAACGUAGUUGAAUCACUCAAUGAUGAAGAAAAACAACAAAUUAAUGAUCAUGAAGUUAACAAUGAACCUGUAGUAGAACAACCACAAGAAAUAGUAUUAAGAAGAUCUCAAAGAGAAGGAAGGUCUGCUAUUUUGAAUGAUUAUGUGGUUUAUCUACAAGAGUAAGAAAAUGACCUAAGUAUUGAUAAUGAUCCAAUUUCAUUUUCAAACGCCAUCAAUGAUGAUAAUUAUGAUAAGUGGUUAGAUGCCAUGAAAGAUGAACUUAAAUCAAUGGCACAGAAUGAUGUAUGGGACCUUAUAGAAUUGUCAGAAGGAUGCAAGAGAGUCAGGUGUAAAUGGGUCUUUAAAACUAAACGUGACUCUUAUGGCAAUAUCGAACGUUACAAGGCCCGACUUGUUGCCAAAGGUUUUACUAAAAAAUGAUGGCAUUGAUUAUAAGGAAACAUUUUCACUUGUUUCUAAGAAAGAUUCCUUUAGAAUUAUUAUGACAUUAGUAGCUCAUUAUGACCUUGAGUUGCAUCAGAUGGAAGUCAAAAUUGCUUUUUUGAAUGGGGAUUUAGAAGAGGAUGUUUAUAUGGACCAACCAGUGGGAUUCAUUGAAGAAGGAAAGGAACACAUGGUGUGUAAACUUAAGAAAUCAAUAUACGGGCUUAAACAGGCUUCUAGGCAAUGGUAUCUUAAGUUCAAUGAUAUUAUUGUGUCCUUUGGAUUUAAGGAAAACAUCGUUGAUUGGUGUAUAUAUCUGAAGGUCAGUGGGAGAAAGUUUAUAUUCCUGAUUCUGUAUGUUGAUGAUAUCUUGCUUGCAACUAAUGAUCUUGGUUUAUUAAGUGAAGCUAAGAAGUUUCUCUCUAAUAACUUUAAGAUGAAAGACAUGGGUGAGGCAUACUAUGUGAUAGGAAUAGAAAUAUUCUAUGAUAGAUCAUAAGGACUGUUAGGUUUGUCUCAUAAAACAUAUAUUAAUAAAGUUUUAGAGAGAUUCAGAAUGGAUAAAUGUUCAACAUCUCCUGUUCCAAUACAGAAAUGAGACAAAUUUAGUCUCAUGCAAUGUCCAAAGAAUGAUUUGGAACGAAAACAGAUGGAGAAUAUACCUUAUGCAUCUAUUGUUGGGAGUUUAAUGUAUGCUCAAACUUUUACACACCAGAUAUUAGUUUUGCAAUUGGUAUGCUUGGUAGAUACUAGAGUAAUCCAGGAUUGGAUCAUUGGAAAGCUGCAAAGAAAGUUUUAAGAUACCUACAAGGAACGAAGGAUCACAUGCUUACUUAUAAAAGAUCUGAUCAUCUUGAGGUGAUUGGAUAUACAGAUUCAGAUUUUGCUGGAUGUGUGGAUACAAGAAAAUGUCUACUUUUGGUUAUGUGUAUCUUUUAGUCGGAGGAGCGAUUUCGUGGAAAAGUGCGAAGCAGACAAUCAUUGUUGCAUCCACCAUGGAGGUUGAAUUUGUGGCAUGCUUUGAGGCCACAGUUCAGGCUAAUUGGUUGCGAAGUUUUGUUCCAAGACUUGGAAUUGUUGACAGUAUUGCCAAGCCGCUGAGAAUUUAUUGUGAUAACUCCGCAACUGUCUUCUUUUCUAAAAACGACAAGUAUUCCAAAGGUGCUAAACAUAUGAAAUAGAAAUACUUUGUCGUUAAAGAAGAAGUUCAAAAACAUAGAGUGUCAAUAGAACAUAUUAGCACUGAUCUUAUGAUUGUUGACCCUCUAACAAAAGGGUUACUGCCCAAAACAUUUACUGGUCAUGUUGUAAGUAUGGGUAUUAUGUCUACUAGUGAAUGAUGAAUGUUGUUAUUAAUGCUUAUUUGACACUCUGAGCUCAUUGAUAAAUAAAGCUUCUGAAAUUUAUGUUUUCUACUUUAUGUAUAUGCAUAUAAAUUAUGUUGUGGAAAACAAAUUAUGUUGUUAUUGAUGAAAAAUGACAUUAUGUUUGAACCUAUUAUGGAUUUCUCACUAUAAAGUCAUAUUAAGGAGAAAGAAUGAUAUAGUAGUACAUGGAAGGAAAUGUGUUGAUUGAAAUGACAUGUAACCACCAUGACUCUUAUUAUUUUUGUAUCCUUGAUCUUGAUUAAUGAUAGAAACAAUUUACGUAAGGCCUUUUAAAUGUGCAUUUAUGUAAUUAUUAAAUCAUGAAAGUAUUAUAACUCAUAUGAGUCAAGUGGGAGAAUGUAAGAAAUUAUGUAAAUUAAUUUCUAUAAAGUGACUCACAUGACUUAGAUUUUGGGCUUUGGGCCCAAAUAUGAUUUAAUAAUAAUAAUAGAAUUAAAGGCCCAUUGGUUAACAUGAGAAAUAUAUAUCUGAUGAUAUACCUAAUGAAAACCGACAUCUGAUGGAGAUUGGGAACUAAAGGCUAUAGGGUUCUGUCUUUGCAAAUAAUAGUUGUCUCACUAUUAACCAUCACGAAAGUGUGUGACAAGAACGAAAUUUCUAAGAGAUAGAUUGGGACAAAGGAGAUAAAAUAAUUGCUCAAGUAGGAUCACUCAUGGAUCAAGGUAAGUGUCUAUUCCUUCUUGAUUGUAUGGAUAUAUGUGAGAAUCAUGAUAUGAUAAGAUCUGUAUAAGAACAUUAUUGUAUGCGUUCAUAAUCAUGUUUAAUCGUAUUUUGAUUUACAAGAAAGACAAUACGAAAAAGUAAAAAAGAUAAGAUAUGAUAAUGGUCCAAAAUUUACUUAAACAUAUUUUUAUGCAAAAGAAGGAAUUAUAAACCAAACAUCUUAUGUUGAUUCUCGUGAGAAAAAUGGAAGUGUAGAAAUGAAAUACUACAUUUUAAAUUUGGCUAGAUCUUUGUUGUAUCAAGUUGAUAUACCUAAACAUUAUUGAAGAUAUCUAGUUACACAUGAUGCACAUUAUAAAUAGAAUUCCAAGAAAAAUUUUAUAAAACCAUUCCAAUAUUUUCAUAUUGGUUCUUUUGAUAGUACAAACUACGUCUAAUUCUUAAUCAACUAGUCAAGUUUCACCAAGCAAACUAAUGUUCUAAAGUACAAAGCGGGUAAUAUUUGAACUCAGUCACUUUUAGCUAAAACCCAAGUAUUAUUUGACAAUCAACCACUCUUGACUGAAAAACCCGAAUAUUCUUUGGAACCCAACCACUUUAGCUAAAAUUGAGUAUUGUUUAGAACACGACCACUCUUGACUAAGAAAAAUGAUUUUCUAAUAAUGUGAUCACCAAAUCACAUGUUUUACUCAUUAUGGAGGGAUUGCCUUUUUUUAAUGAUUACUAGGAUAAACACUUUCUCCUAGUUUACUAAUGAACACAAACAAUGUUUUUUUCUUUAAAGCUUUUGGGUGUAGAGAAAAUUUAGCUUCAUUUAGCACUUGCAAAUAAUGUUAUAGUUUCUUUUUUCUCUUAUCGAAACAUGUCUUUAUAUAGGUGCUUGAAGAAUGUAGUCAUUGCAAUCCUUUUUUGGUCAUUGAGUAGCUUUGAACUCAUUUGAAUAUCUUCAUCUCUCUUUUAUCCUUUAUCAAGCUUGAUUGUAGAGAAGCAUUGUAUGCGCUUCAUGAAACAUUAAUAGUUCUUCUCUUCUUCUCAGAACAUCUUUGAUAGUUGACAAUACUUAUCUCUCUAGAAUGCAUAAUCUUUCAUACCAAAACAUGGUAAACAUACACACCAUAUUGGACAGAUGACUAACCCAAAGUUGACAUAUGUUUAUGUCAGGAUAGUUGGCGUACAAUGUAGAUUUAUCUUAUCCUAAGAUAUCUUGAUGUAGACUUGUCUUAAGAGUGGACAUCUUGGCGACAUAUAGUGAAUACUAUAGUAUAAAAUUAAACUUCAAGAAUAUUCUUUAUGUUUGAGUCUAUUUGCACUUAUCACUUAUCAGGCUAAGUGGAAAAUUUGCAUAAUGUUAUAUCGUCAAUCAGACGAAGCACAAACAUUUUUGCAUGAUCUAAUAUUUUUAUACAAUGUCUAUCAGACGCAUCUUCUUCGUGUUUCAUAUUUUGUUUUAUUAAGCACUUAGUCAAAAUCAUAGGGUUGUUGCAGUUUUGCUCUAACACUCACCAAAAUAGACUUACAUCAAAAUACACACAAAACUAAAUAUAUCAUUUCAAACUUCACCACAUGCAUAUAAACAUACUCCUCUACUUAUUGAGUCAAAUCCGUCACCACCCCAAUCGACUACUCUGUCAACCUUCCCUUUAUUCACCCACAAAUCCAACCACCAACUUUUCUCUAAAUAAGCUUGCUAUGUAACAAACUGUGAACUCAAAAAGUCAUCUAGGAUCAGGCGUCCACCAUCACACUUGGCUGAUUACAUCUAUGAAACUCCUACUUGAGCAUCAAAUUAGUUUUCCUUAAGUAUGCCUCAUUUCUUAUCUAAAUUCACGUAUCUUUUUCAUCUAUCUCCUUCACAUCAUUCUUUACCUUUUCUUUGCUCUUUAAGACUGAACCCAAAACCUAUGAAAAAGCUUCCAAAUUCCCUUACUAGAUUAAUGUUAUGCAAGUCGUGUUGCAUGGUGCAUCAAUUGUAUCAUGGUGUAGAUCAGGUAGGCCAAGUUACAAUCGAAUCUUGGUGCUUGAGUUGUUACACUCUUAAGUAAUAUAGCUUAUAGUUUUUGGCUUAAUGGUAAACACUCGAUCCAAUAAGCCAAAAUACAGGCUCUUAAGGAUAACAAAACUUUAGUCUUGGUUGAUUUACUUGUUGGAGUAAUCCCCAUUGAAAAUACGUAGGUAUUCAAAAUCAAAAGGCAUCACAAUAACAUUAGUGAGAUUUACAAAGCAUGUUUAGUGGGAAAAGAACGCACAUUUAUAAAGCUUCGAUACAGAGUGGAGCCUCCACUUUUGUGCCUUGGACACAUCGUCGACAUAGACACGUAGUAUAUGCGUGAACGACGAGAUGCUAGAUACACUUAUUUUGGCCAGACACGACGUUGUCCUUGGAUGUGCCAUAGAUGACAUAGAGCACCCCUUAGACAUGUCACUCACAAAAACCACACAUGAAUCCAUUAUACUUAAAAGAAACAAAAAAUAAAUAGAUAAUCCAGGAACAAAUAAUAUAUUCAUUCCUUAACCAUGAUUUAAAUUAUCUUAGUAUAUCUCAUUUUAAGAGGAAGAUGAGACACAUACAACUCUAUAAAUUACACAAGCAUUACAAAAUAAAAGAAAAGGAAUUAGAAAGAAGAAAAAGAAGAAGAAGAGACGAAAUUUUGUAGCUUUAUUGUGUUGAGUUGAAACCAUGUUAACUUGCACGAAUGCGUUGAGUUGCAACAAACAAAGAAGAAGAAGAAGAAAGAAAAAAAAAAGAAACAAGGAUUUGGAAGAAUAAAAUGUAAAGAAAAUUUUUAACAAAUGUUUUUAAUUAUUUUAUUUAAACACAAUUAGCCCUCUAUAGUAUACUCUCCGCUUAAGAGUUGUUUCUUAGUAAUUUUGAAAUUGUCAAACCGUUGGCAGACUUGUUAAAAUAAGGAGUAUUUUUUAAACUUUCAAACCAUAGACUUGUUAAAUUAGGAACACUUCAUCAUAUUAAUUUAAAAUUAUCAAUUUACUCUUUGUUAAUUCUAAUUUAAACGCAUCAAUGUCAAAUCAUUGCCAUUUUGAAAAUAAUGAAGGCUUGAAAUAAUUUUUUAUUUUCAACUUAUGUUUUUUUUUUCAACUUAAGUUGUGAGAGAAGAAUAUUUUUUUUAUUUAAUUUAUGUUUUUUAGUUUAAAUUUAAAUAUGACUUGAUAUAUAAUUAUAUAAUUAUGUUAUAUUAUGUGUUUUUUUUUAUAAUUUGGAUACUAUAUUUUGAUUUUAUUUUAUUUUUAAAUUACAAAGAUAAAAUUAUAUUUUUUAUUAUUUGAAUAUGUUUUUAAAUGGUAAAUUAAAGUUUUAUUAGAGCAUAAUAUUAUAAAAAAAAUAAACUAAACUUUUACUUAAAAAAAUAAAUAUUAAAGAUAACAUUUUUUACAAUAAUCAUAUUGAAAUUAAAAAUAUAAAAUAACCUUAAAUAACAUAAUAAUUGAAUAUUAUUUGAAAAAUAUAAUGUAUUAUAUUAUAAUUAAUUAAUGUUUUGAGUGAUUCUUUAUUCAAUAGAUUUUAUAUUUGAGUAAGAGUUAAUUUGUUAAAAAUCACGAGAUAAGGAGCUAAAAUUUGUCCAGAUGCGAUCUCGUCAAAACCUGUUGAGUUUAUAAAAUUAGACAAAGAAACAACAUUGAAAAUAGAAAAUUCAAAUAAAAAAGGGUCCCUCUAUCACCUGUAAUUAAUGGAGGAAAUGAAAUAAACAAUGGUGUUAACCAAUACUCUUGAUUGUGAAAUUAGGAGGAUGCUUUAUUUUUCAUAACUACCAUUUCAUUUAGCAAGAAGUCCUUACUAUACAAGUGCAUUUUCAUGUAGUAAUUUUGUCUUGUCUAAAAAAACUCCUCAAAAUACAAAAGAGAGAAAACUAAAUUGUGAGAUAUUGUAAAAGAUGACUUUUAAAUAAAUGACAAUGAAAUUCUUGUGAUUCCUAGCUUAUCUCAGGAUAGACCAGACUUAUAAGUUGUAUGUUUCAAUGAGGAUGAACAAAUAUAAAAGUCAAACAUUGUGAUUGAAAUAAGUUUAUCUUUUGUUAAACCUUUUUUUUUAUAAAUGUCUCUCUUUAUUUUUUUCUUCUUCAUAUUAUGAAGUAUAUACAUUUUAAUAGAUUCAUAAUCAUAUAUAUAUAUAUAUAUUAUCGUAUUAUGUGUUCUAUAAUUUUCAAUUUAAGCUUAUCUUUUUGUCCAUGUAUGAGUCAAAUUUGUGUUUGUGCUUCAAAGAUGGACACAAGUUAUAGAGCUUAAUUAUCUAUAUAUUUUUCUCUUGUUGCUAAGAUUACAAACAUGAAAACACUUGUUGUUUCUUCCAUAAAAGGGUGGUUUUACAUCAACUAGAAGUGAAUAACACAUUUUACAUGAAGAGUUAGAAGAAAACUUUUAUAUGUUAGUUCCUCAAAGUGUAUCUAAUUCUAAUCAAGUGCAUAAGCUCACCAAAAAUUUAUUCAUAGAUUGAAGCAAGCAAACAUUUGGUAUGAUCACCAAAAAUUUAUUCAUAGAUUGAAGCAAUCAAACAUUUGGUAUGAAAGGUUUACAACCAUGUUAUUGUCAUUGUCUUGUUAACAAAGUACAUAAAAUUACUUUAACAAAAUACAAUACUCAUUUGAGCUAGAACUCCCAAUUAAAACUUAAAAAAUAUUGUUAAUCAGUACCUAUUGCACCUACAUAAAAGAUAUUUUAUAAAAGAGAAAUAUUACAAAGACUCUUUUUCAUUAGUUGAAAUUUAUUAACAAUCUCAAUCUUAUUUAAUAACACUCUCCUCUUUUUAUUGUUUUUAAUAAAUUCUAAUCAAUAAAAAAAUAUGUUAAUAAUUUACAUUCCUCUUUUCAUUAUUUUUAAUAAAUUCUAAUCAAUAAAAAAUAUGUCAGAAGCAAUAUUAUGUAAUUAUAGCACUCAUUCUAUAAUUAUGAAAUUUUUGCAAUUACCAAAAUUGUUUCUUGGGCGCAAUUGAUUUGAACGUGACAAAUUCUUUCUGUGCUUCCAUAUUUUCCUUUCCUAAAUUUUUAAAAAUACUAAAAUUAUUUUCAUAUUUUAUUGAUAUUUUUUUAAUUUUAAAAUGUGGAAUUUCAAGACUUCCUAAAUUAUAAAUUUGAGAAGUUAAUACUUGUGAAUUAUUUUUUAUUUUUAUUAUAUAAUAUAAAAUAUAAAAUUUAUAUUUUGAAUUAUAUAAUUCAGCAAAAUUUGUAUUUUGGAUUUUUUAUUAUGAAUGGUACAAUCUAAAAAUUAAAUUUUGUAUUUUAGAUAAUAAGAAAUGAUGAUUUUAUAUUAUGAAUUAUAUUAUAAAUUGUACAAAUCUAAAAUGGAAAAUUUGUAUUUUAGACAACUAAAAAAAGGGUAUUUUGGUAUUUUCGAAAUAUGAGGUGUAGGAAGAAACAGAUGGAGGUCCAGAAAGAAUUGGCUUUUGAAUGUUCAAAGUAGGUGGGCCGUUUGGGAACCGUAAUGGGCCAAUCUGGCACCCAAAACAAAACCCACUGCCCUGAACUUGUCUUGUGUGUGUUCCUUCUCGCUGCACUGCUUCCCCAAUCUUCUCUCUGGCGAUCAAGGUAUCAAAAUCGAAACAGGUACUUUCGCAAAAGUAUCAUCUUUUUACGUACCCAUUUUCGUUUUUGUUUUCACAGUGCCUUCAAUUGCAUUUCCACUUACAAAAGACGUUUAUUUAUCUAUGCUUCAUAACAAAAUGAAUUGGGUGGUGGCUAAGAUCCUCUCUUUGUUGUUUUUAACUUCUCAUUUUAUGGUUUGGAAAUAGCAGGUGUGUUGUGGAAGAUGACUUCUAUUGUUAGGGCUGCAUUGAGAUCCAAGUGCAGUUCAAGUGUUUGUGCACUUGUUCCAGUGAGGUGUUUCUCCACUGAAGCAGCACAGCCACCUCUCAAUUCAACUACCCCUCCUCCAUUCUUUGACGUUGAUCAUUCUGGUACCACCCUAUUUGUGCACUUAUUCUCCCAUUUCUAUUGCUCUUAAACUUUCCUUAGAUUUUAGAGAGAAAAAACUGUUCUACCACAACUGGAGGUUUUAAAUUGCUAUCAUGGUUGUGGUUUUGCCGCAUUCCUUGAUAUUGCGGCAGAUGCAGCCAUAAAGAUGCCACAUAGAGUCCAAAAACCUUGACAUUAUGGCCGAAAUUGUGGUCAGAGUUGCCGACUGAUAUGCAAAACUUGUUGCUGCUGUUACUUUUAGGACCCGCUUGGUGGCCAGGAUAUGAUAUAAUAGGAUAAUAUAACUAUUCUGCCCUGCUUUAAUCAGUUGUCUGGUUCUGUGGUAUAGGAUAUUUAUUUCUAUCAUAGCAACUACGCUACAUGGUCACUACUUCUGUCACAUACUAAUGGACAGCAUUAGUGUCACUACAUCUGUCAUGAUCAUUGUCAAUGUCAUUAGUGUCACUACAUCUGUCAUCAUCAUUGUCAAUGUCACCCUUUUUGUCAUAAGAGACAUUACCACUUUCACC